CUGAUGGGAAACAAGGGCGUAUGGUGGAUGCCUUGGCUUAAGAAGGCGAUGAAGGACGUAGCGUGGCGGCGAUACGCUCCGGGGAGGUGCCGAGCAACCUUUGAUCCGGAGAUGUCCGAAUGGGGAAACCCCUUCGCGUAAAACGCGAAGACGUGCAUCUCACAAAGCUGAGAUGCAGAAUUAAGAAUAUAGAAUUAGGAAUUAUGAAUUAAGACAAAAUCUUUUUCCAUACUUCAUGAUUCAUACUUCAUACUUCUGCACCGAGGUUUUGCGAGGUGCGCGGGCAUACCCUGGGAAGUAAAACAUUUCAGUACCAGGAGGAAUAGAAACCAAUAAGUAUUCCGUCAGUAGCGGCGAGCGAACGCGGAGAAGCCCAAACCGUGCAAAGCACAGAGAAACAAAAUACAAAACACAAACAUACACAAAAAACCAAACAAAACACAAAACAUUCCAAACUUCACAAACAUCUUUUCGUUUGUGCUUUGAGAAUUUCGGGCUUUGUUUGGACUUUGGAUACUGUGCUUUGGAAAGUUUGUUUUUCCGCGCUUUGCGCGGUGUUGUAAGGCAGUAACGUCGUAUUUAUACGAGGAAAGUUACCAAAUUGUUUGUUAGUGGAAGUCGCUGGAAAGCGACACCCCAGGGGGUGAUAGUCCCGUACACGAAAACAAACAGUCUUUCUUGUUACUGUUCUUGAGUACCUCAAGACACGAAUAGCUUGAGGGAACCUGCCGGAACUAACCGGUAAGGCUAAAUACUUCUUAAGACCGAUAGUGAACUAGUACCGUGAGGGAAAGGUGAAAAGCAGCCCGGUGAGGGCGGUGAAAUAGACCUGAAACCAUAUGCUUACAAGGAGUUAUAGCCGUCACAUCACACUGCGUGUGAUGGACGGAAUUUUCAAUUAUCAAUUUUGCAAUUUUCAAUUAAGGUCUCAAUUUUCAAUGUUUAAAACAUUGGGGCAUUGGGAUUUAUUUGAAAAUUGGUAAUUGUAAAUUGGAAAUUCCGUCACAUCGCGCCUAGCGCGAUGUGACGGUGGUAGCGUGCCUAUUGAAGAAUGAGCCAACGAGUUGAUGCAUACUGCAAGGCUAAGCCCCUCCGGGGUGGAGCCAAAGGGAAACCGAGUGUUAAUAGCGCGACAAGUAGUAUUCAUCAGACCCGAAGCCAGGUGAGCUUACCAUGAGCAGGAUGAACUCCAGAGAAAUCUGGAGGGAGGUCCGAACGCUAGAGCUGUGCAAUACUCUGCGAUGACUUGUGGUAAGGAGUGAUAAGCUAAUCG
rfam:Candidatus Taylorbacteria bacterium RIFCSPHIGHO2_01_FTLL_51_15 rifcsphigho2_01_scaffold_450, whole genome shotgun sequence.